rnacentral:lncRNA from 1 species
CUCCGUUAUUUGCUAGAUUUUACUUAUGUUAAGUUCAAUACAUUUAUUUAAGCACAUAGGAAUGUGUCCUAGAUAUUAGGGAAUUUUAUAAAUAUAUCCAUCUCAGUCUUCGUACUCACAUAAUUCAAAUUAAGUUAUCUAAGUAAACAGAAGCAGAUGUCUAAAUAAAUAAAUGCAACAGGGAUAUUUUAUAUUUAAAAUGUAAAAUGCAAUUACAUUUUAAUUGCAUAUUAUUUAUAUUGCCUAGACAUCAAGCCUCUUUGGGUCAGGGAUCCUGUAUUUUUUGUAUUCCCAGCCCUAAGUACAAUGUCUGGGACAGAGUAGAUUCUUGAUAAAUAUUUAUGGAAUGAGAAAAUUAAUGAAAAAAAAACAAAUGUACAAUGGAGAUAGCUGAAGGAGGGAUUACUUUCAAUUUGCUUUGUUAAGAAAAGUUACAUUUUAUCAAAGGUAUAGUGAGUUUUUAGAAAAUCGACUUUAAAAAAUUAUUUGCAUAACUAUACUGAAUAUGUAAGGUAAAUUCCUUAUCAUAUUUGUGUCUGGAAACACCUCAGCAUGAUUAGAAGGACACAUUUUGUCCCAGAGAGAGUGCUUUUGCAUUGUUUUAUUGAAGAAACAAAAAAAGGAGAUAAUCCCUUUCUAACAAAAAGAUACUCUAAAAAAUAUGCCUGAUUUAAUUCCUUGAAGACCUGGUUCAAAUCUCCCCUCAACUCCUUCAUUUAAAUCUGACCCCACUCUGAAAACUUCCACUGUAUUAACUCAGUUGACUGUACCAUGGAUAUUGCCCAUGUAGGCCAGUUUUACCAUUUUUAAUCAUG